rnacentral:rRNA from 1 species
UACGUAGGGCGCAAGCGUUGUCCGGAAUUAUUGGGCGUAAAGAGCUCGUAGGCGGCUUGUCACGUCGAUUGUGAAAGCCCGAGGCUUAACCUCGGGUCUGCAGUCGAUACGGGCUAGCUAGAGUGUGGUAGGGGAGAUCGGAAUUCCUGGUGUAGCGGUGAAAUGCGCAGAUAUCAGGAGGAACACCGGUGGCGAAGGCGGAUCUCUGGGCCAUUACUGACGCUGAGGAGCGAAAGCGUGGGGAGC